GACGAACGCUGGCGGCGUGCUUAACACAUGCAAGUCGAGCGGUAAGGCCCUUUCGGGGUACGACGAGCGGCGAACGGGUGAGUAACACGUGGGUGACCUGCCCUCAGCUCUGGGAUAAGCCUGGGAAACCGGGUCUAAUACUGGAUAUGACUCCAUGACGCAUGUUGUGGGGUGGAAAGCCUUGUGCGGCUGAGGAUGGGCCCGCGGCCUAUCAGCUUGUUGGUGGGGUGAUGGCCUACCAAGGCGACGACGGGUAGCCGGCCUGAGAGGGCGACCGGCCACACUGGGACUGAGACACGGCCCAGACUCCUACGGGAGGGCAGCAGUGGGGAAUCUUGCGCAAUGGGCG
rnacentral:rRNA from 1 species